rnacentral:rRNA from 1 species
GAUGAACGCUGGCGGCGUGCCUAAUACAUGCAAGUCGAGCGAACGGGCGAGAAGCUUGCUUCUCUGAUGUUAGCGGCGGACGGGUGAGUAACACGUGGAUAACCUACCUAUAAGACUGGGAUAACUUCGGGAAACCGGAGCUAAUACCGGAUAAUAUUUUGAACCGCAUGGUUCAAAAGUGAAAGACGGUCUUGCUGUCACUUAUAGAUGGAUCCGCGCUGCAUUAGCUAGUUGGUAAGGUAACGGCUUACCAAGGCAACGAUGCAUAGCCGACCUGAGAGGGUGGUCGGCCACCCUGGAACUGAGACACGGUCCAGACUCCUACGGGAGGCAGCAGUAGGGAAUCUUCCGCAAUGGGCGAAAGCCUGACGGAGCAACGCCGCGUGAGUGAUGAAGGUCUUCGGAUCGUAAAACUCUGUUAUUAGGGAAGAACAUAUGUGUAAGUAACUGAGCACAUCUUGACGGUACCUAAUCAGAAAGCCACGGCUAACUACGUG